rnacentral:rRNA from 1 species
ACGGCCCACCAAGGCGACAAUGCGUAGCCGACCUGAGAGGGUGAACGGCCGCACUGGGACUGACACACGGCCCAUACUCCUACUGAAGGCAUCACUACGGAAUCUUCCGCAAUGGGCGAAAGCCUGACGGAGCAACGCCGCGUGAGUGAUGAAGGUGUUCGGAUCGUAAGCUCUGUUGCAGGGAAAACGUCCGGUAGAGUAACUGCUGCAGAGUGACGGUACCUGACAUGAAGCCCGCUACUACGUGCAGCAGCGCGUAUACUAUGGGGAAGCGUGUCGGAUAUGGGCUAAGCGCCGCAGG